rnacentral:rRNA from 1 species
AUAGAGUGAGCCUAAGUUCGGAAUUAGGCUAGUGUGGGUAAGCUUAUCAGGCGACGAUCUGUAGGCGGUCUGAGAAGGAUGAUCCGCCACCCCUGGACUGAGAACACGCCAGACUCCUACGGGAGGCAGCAGUGGGGAAUAUGACAUGAGCGCAGCUGAUCCAGCCAUGACGCGUGGUGUGAAGAAGGCCUUAUGGUUGUAAAGCACUUUAAGCGAGAGGAGGCUACUUUAGUUAAUACCUAGAGAUAGUGGACGUUACUCGCAGAAUAAGCACCGGGCUAACUCUGUGCCAGCAGCCGCGGUAAUACAGAGGGUGCAAGCGUUAAUCGGAUUUACUGGGCGUAAAGCGCGCGUAGGCGGCUAAUUAAGUCAAAUGUGAAAUCCCCGAGCUUAACUUGGGAAUUGCAUUCGAUACUGGUUAGCUAGAGUGUGGGAGAGGAUGGUAGAAUUCCAGGUGUAGCGGUGAAAUGCGUAGAGAUCUGGAGGAAUACCGAUGGCGAAGGCAGCCAUCUGGCCUAACACUGACGCUGAGGUGCGAAAGCAUGGGGAGCAAACAGGAUUAGAUACCCUGGUAGUCCAUGCCGUAAACGAUGUCUACUAGCCGUUGGGGCCUUUGAGGCUUUAGUGGCGCAGCUAACGCGAUAAGUAGACCGCCUGGGGAGUACGGUCGCAAGACUAAAACUCAAAUGAAUUGACGGGGGCCCGCACAAGCGGUGGAGCAUGUGGUUUAAUUCGAUGCAACGCGAAGAACCUUACCUGGCCUUGACAUAGUAAGAACUUUCCAGAGAUGGAUUGGUGCCUUCGGGAACUUACAUACAGGUGCUGCAUGGCUGUCGUCAGCUCGUGUCGUGAGAUGUUGGGUUAAGUCCCGCAACGAGCGCAACCCUUUUCCUUAUUUGCCAGCGAGUAAUGUCGGGAACUUUAAGGAUACUGCCAGUGACAAACUGGAGGAAGGCGGGGACGACGUCAAGUCAUCAUGGCCCUUACGGCCAGGGCUACACACGUGCUACAAUGGUCGGUACAAAGGGUUGCUACCUAGCGAUAGGAUGCUAAUCUCAAAAAGCCGAUCGUAGUCCGGAUUGGAGUCUGCAACUCGACUCCAUGAAGUCGGAAUCGCUAGUAAUCGCGGAUCAGAAUGCCGCGGUGAAUACGUUCCCGGGCCUUGUACACACCGCCCGUCACACCAUGGGAGUUUGUUGCACCAGAAGUAGCUAGCCUAACUGCAAAGAGGGCGGUA